UUUGUGAGUUGACACUGUCACCAUUAUUACUUCGUCCAGUGUGGCGCCUUUGAGUGCAGCAGCAAGUGGCACAGGUGCCCUGGGACAUUUUCAAGGAUGACAGUGGGUGGAUGGAGAGCUGCUUGAUCAUGGGAGGGUGUGUGACUGCACUAUUCCCUGGGCCAGGCCACCGGAAAUGGCACCCUGGUCCCACUGACACCAGCUGGUCCUGUCAGCUGCAGGAGGCAGGAAGGGCACGAGCAAGCGAGAAGCCAGGCCUUAUUUAGAUCGGAUGCCAAAGCCGAGCCCUUGAAGAAGCCCUCUUUGGAUAGACCACAGAAGCCACUUCACUCGCACCAGCUUUUCCCACCAGCAGUUUCCUUCCUCUGGCUCCUGGGACUCUCCCUUCUGCUCAAGCCUGGCCUCCUCCAGCAGCCCAGCCCACCAACCUCCCCACCUCUUGCUGGAGCGGGGAAAAAAAAUCAAAGCAGGAAGAGCUCAGAAGCAGUGCACAGUCCUGGCAGCUCAUUGCAAUCACUGACCCUGCUCCAACUCCAGAGCAGCCCAGGUCCCAAGACAGGGAGGAGAAACAUGCUGGCUUCAUGAUGGGGAGACCUUGGCAGACUGAUACCUGAU